AAAUCCGGCAAUCGACCUGAGGACUUGCGUGCCGCUCAGCUCCCGGGACGUUUGGAGCUGCUGCUAAAUAAUUUCUGCUCAGCCAUGUCGCCGGCUCCAGAUGCAGCCCCGGCUCCUGCGUCGAUCUCCCUGUUUGACCUCAGCGCGGAUGCUCCGGUGUUUCAGGGCCUGAGCCUGGUGAGCCACGCGCCUGGGGAGGCUCUGGCCCGGGCUCCGCGUACUUCCUGUUCAGGCUCAGGGGAGAGAGAAAGCCCAGAAAGAAAGCUACUCCAGGGUCCUAUGGAUAUUUCAGAGAAGUUAUUUUGUUCAACUUGUGACCAGACCUUCCAGAACCACCAAGAACAGAGGGAACAUUAUAAGCUUGACUGGCAUCGGUUUAACCUAAAGCAACGUCUCAAGGACAAGCCUCUCCUGUCUGCCCUGGACUUUGAAAAGCAGAGUUCCACAGGAGAUCUUUCCAGCAUCUCGGGAUCAGAAGACUCAGACUCAGCCAGUGAGGAGGACUUGCAGACACUGGAUCGGGAGAGGGCUACAUUUGAGAAGUUGAGCCGACCCCCAGGCUUUUACCCUCAUCGAGUUCUUUUCCAGAAUGCCCAGGGCCAGUUUCUUUAUGCCUACCGCUGUGUCCUAGGCCCUCAUCAGGCAAGUGACAGUACAGGUUGCAUGGCUAACCCCAGCCUUUUGUACACCCAGCCUAGAUUUCCCUUAGCCUAGUGCAUUUCUCCCUGCUUCUCUUCCUUCCUGUUGGUUGUGGGUAUCACGCUUGACAACAUAGUCUUGAAUUGAAACUGGCCUGAAUUGUGGAAGGGUUAAGUGUAAUGGAAUUAAGUUUGGAAACAAACCAAUUUAGGUUUGAAUUGUGAUUCUACCACUUCAUCUUGACUGCCUCGCCAAGCCUCAAAUUUCCUUGUCAAAUGGAAACAAGCCUCAGGGUGGUAAUAUUAAAUGAGAUAAUGUUUGUGAAAAUUGGCCCUUAGUUUCUUGCUCUC
rnacentral:sRNA from 1 species